rnacentral:lncRNA from 1 species
AUUUUAAUACAUUUUACACUAACAUUUUGCAAAGAAAUAUGAAGAUUUUGGGAGCUCUUGUUGCCGUUGUAGCUAUUUUAUUUGCUGCUGUGAGUGGUCAAGGUCCGCCGGGUCCCCCGAAUGGACACCAUCCAGGCGGCCCAGGUGGCCCAAGUACUCCAAUUCCACAAUCUAAAUAGAUGAAGAAAGGAAACAUCUAUGUAUUUUGGACAAAAAUAUUUCAAUUAUACUGAUUUAUCAAAAA